rnacentral:tRNA from 1 species
GUUUUUGUAGUUGAAUAACAACAGUGGUUUUUCAGACCAUCGGUUUUGGUUAAGCCAGACAAAAAUA